GAUGAACGCUGGCGGCGUGCCUAAUACAUGCAAGUCGAGCGGAAGGACGAGAAGCUUGCUGCUCUGAUGUUAGCGGCGGACGGGUGAGUAACACGUGGAUAACCUACCUAUAAGACGGGGAUAACUUCGGGAAACCGGAGCUAAUACCGGAGAAUAUUUUGAACCGCAUGGUUCAAAAGUGAAAGACGGUCUUGCUGUCACUUAUAGAUGGAUCCGCGCUGCAUUAGCUAGUUGGUCAGGUAACGGCUUACCAAGGCAACGAUGCAUAGCCGACCUGUGAGGGUGGUCGGCCACCCUGGAGCUGAGCCGCCGUCCAUGGUCCUACGGGAGGCAGCAGUAUGCUACGUUCCGCAGUGGGCGAGAGCCUUACGGAGCAGCGCCGCGUGAGUGAUGGCGGUCUUCGGUUCGUAAUGCUCUCUUAUUAGUGAAGAACAUCUGUGUAAGUAGCUGUGCACAGCUUGACGGUACCUAAUCAGAAAGCCCCGGCUAGCUACGUG
rnacentral:rRNA from 1 species